AGUGAACGCUGGCGGUAGGCCUAACACAUGCAAGUCGAACGGCAGCACAGUAAGAGCUUGCUCUUACGGGUGGCGAGUGGCGGACGGGUGAGGAAUACAUCGGAAUCUACUUUUUCGUGGGGGAUAACGUAGGGAAACUUACGCUAAUACCGCAUACGACCUACGGGUGAAAGCAGGGGAUCUUCGGACCUUGCGCGAUUGAAUGAGCCGAUGUCGGAUUAGCUAGUUGGCGGGGUAAAGGCCCACCAAGGCGACGAUCCGUAGCUGGUCUGAGAGGAUGGUCAGCCACAUUGGAGCUGAGACACGGUCCAGACUCCUACGGGAGGCAGCAGUGUGGAAUAGUGGACAAUGGGCGCAAGCCUGAUCCAGCCAUACCGCGUGGGUGAAGAAGGCCUUCGGGUUGUAAAGCCCUUUUGUUGGGAAAGAAAAGCAGCAGGUUAAUACCCCGCUGUUCUGACGGUACCCAAAGAAUAAGCACCGGCUAACUUCGUG
rnacentral:rRNA from 1 species